rnacentral:rRNA from 1 species
AUACGGAGGGAGCGAGCGUUAAUCGGAAUUACUGGGCGUAAAGCGCGCGUAGGCGGCUUUGUAAGUCGGAUGUGAAAGCCCCGGGCUUAACCUGGGAAUGGCAUUCGAUACUGCAUAACUAGAGUAUGGUAGAGGGAAGUGGAAUUUCCGGUGUAGCGGUGAAAUGCGUAGAUAUCGGAAGGAACACCAGUGGCGAAGGCGACUUCCUGGGCCAAUACUGACGCUGAGGUGCGAAAGCGUGGGGAGCAAACAGGAUUAGAAACCCCAGUAGUCC